rnacentral:rRNA from 1 species
UUGUCUUUUAAAUGAAGGCCCGUAUGAAUGGCACCACGAGGGCUUAACUGUCUCCUUUUUCUAGUCAAUGAAAUUGAUCUUCCCGUGCAGAAGCGGGAAUACUAACAUAAGACGAGAAGACCCUAUGGAGCUUUAGACACCAGAAUAGCCCAUAUUAAAUACUCCCAACAAAAGACUAAAACCUCUUGGCCCCUAUUCUAAUGUCUUUGGUUGGGGCGACCGCGGGGAAACAAUAAACCCCCAUGUGGACCAGGAGCACCUUGCUCCCACAACCCAGAGUUACAACUCAAAGUAACAGAACUUCUGACCAAUAAGAUCCGGCAUUUCAUCCGAUCAACGGACCGAGUUACCCUAGGGAUAACAGCGCAAUCCUCUUUUAGAGCCCAUAUCGACAAGAGGGUUUACGACCUCGAUGUUGGAUCAGGACAUCCUAAU